CUGUAUUGUUUGGUUGAUUUUGCAGGCCUGGGGCCUGCAGUCUGAGCAUCUCUUGGGAGGAUGACGGUAUGUCUUGUCUUUGAAACCCAAUAUUGUUCUCAUUGUUUUGCUUUCUUAUGAUUGUUUUGCUUUAUUCAAUAUUCUGUUUUGAUUGGUUUUAUUCUAGUUUUGAUUUUUCUAAGCCUGAUGGAAUGGACAACUAUUGUUAAGAUAACAAGAUAUAGUCUGGUAACUAUUGUUGUUUUCUUUUUAUCCUGCUUUGGUGUUAUGUACCAAGUUUGCUGCUUUGUUUUGAUGGCUUUGUUCUGUUUUGUUGGGCUUUACUGUCUUUAAAAUAAAAAAAUUAAAAACAAAACCAAAAAACGAGAAUGAUAUUGGCAAAAACAAGACAAUAGGAAAUCCACAAUAAUUACUAUAUUGUAUAUUGUUAUCUUCUAAAUAGAGCCUCAGAUUACCAGCUUUAGGUCUGCAAAGUCAAUCAAAUAAUACAACUAUUAAGUUUUCUUUACUUCAAUUGCUGUCAUCUUAGUCUGCUUUCAGCCGGGGCAGGGAGGGCGUGGUGGGGAGGAUGGGAUAUCUUCUCUGUUGGCUCAGGCUGUUGCUGGACACAUGAGAGAGGGUACUGUUGCCUUUGGGUCACUCCCUCCCAGCUGGCCUUAUAGCUGCUGGCACACAAGAGGGUAGAAAAUUAAAUGUGUUAUAAAAUGUCACCAUGAUUGUCAUGUUACAAUAUUACGUAUGGCUUUUGAUUUCAAAUUUUCUAUGUAACUUGUAUGACUGUUUCUGUACAACUGUUGUCUGUUAAUAUUCUACUAGGAUCAGCUACUCGAACAUCCAUGGUUGACAGGAAAUGAUGGUCCUCCAUGUAUUUCAAGGUGCUUAAUAUUCAGAUAAAUUUACAAUAUUAGGUUCACUACGUUACAUUGUAAUGUCAUUAACCAUCUCUUUUGGAUGUUCAGCAACUGAGGUUUGGAGAUCAAAAACUAUAAAAAUAGAUGGGCUAGGAGGACAGCCAAUAUUUUGGCCCCAGCCCUCUGAGGUCAUCGAAGACCGAGGAUAUAAGAAAACUUCUACUGUGACAUCCUGUAACUUAGUGAGUCCCCAGUUUUUAAAUUAAGGCAAUUGUUAGUUCACAGGGGAAGGACAUCUGUGUUAUAUGGUGUGCCUAAGGAAAGUCAGCAGGAGAGAAAAGUCUCCCAAGCUUUCAUAGAAAGCAACUUUGCAAGCAAUGGCUGUGACUCAUCUUGAUGGCUGACACUGACAGAUCUAAGAGAUGCUGUACAUGGUUCCAAGACUUCCAGUCUCCAGAGUAUAACAUCUGGGGAGAGCUACACACCACAUCAUUCUAUGCCAUGCUGGAAAGUCCAGGAGUAAACAGCAAAUCACUUCUCUGUCACAUCAUGUCACUGCUCUACUGGAACAUACAUCUCCCUGUGAUGCCAAACUCAGUGAUGAUAAAGAACUAAAGAAGCAGUUUUCCUUUUUAUCGGUACCGGGGAUCGAACUCACAACUGCCUGCUUUCAAGGCAGGCGCUUAUGCCGAUGAGCUAAAUCCCAACCCCUAAAGAAGCAGUUUUAAAAAAGAGAAGAUGGUUUUUGAAUAUGGGGAAGGAGGAAAAGAGAAAUGAAAGUUACUCUGGAUUAGUAUGAAGAUUCAAAAGUAAAAUUACUCUAAAUUCGUGCCUCCGGCUCCUCUUACUGAGAUCCUUGUCCCAUCUAGGUUCCUAGAAUCUGAUUGGUCCCUUGGCUUGACUUUCAUCCUUACUUUGAAUUUCUUCUGGCUAUUCAACCUUUUUGUGUGCUUUGGUGGAGGGUAACACUAUGAGUGGGGCUUUAUAGACUGUAAAGGGGAAGUAAGGGGGAAGUUUGUGAUUUUUGCAUUAAUCAUGCUACUUAGGAACUUUGAGCUGAGUUCUUUGUCUUCUCAAUUGUUGGAGUUUAACUGUCUUUGUCUUUCUAAUUCCUCAAUGUCUAACUGACAUUUCCCUUCUAAUUGCUGGAGUCUGGCUACAGAGGUUGAAGCUGUCUUAUUAAUUUUCAAUAAAGCUCAAUGAGGCCUUUAUCCUACUUUUUCCCUACCUGCAGUGCUUUACCAGAGUGUGAAAAAUAAGUUGUUGAAUCUGUCUUAUGUUAUUAUUGUAGCAGCCCAAAUUGACUAAAAUACUACCACUCACCAA